UACGGGGGGUGCAAGCGUUAUUCGGAAUCAUUGGGCGUAAAGGGCGCGUAGGCGGUCUUUUAAGUCAGAUGUGAAAGCCCUCGGCUUAACCGAGGAAGUGCAUUUGAUACUAAAAGACUUGAGUAUGGGAGAGGGAAGCGGAAUUCCUGGUGUAGCGGUGAAAUGCGUAGAUAUCAGGAGGAACACCGGUGGCGAAGGCGGCUUCCUGGACCAAUACUGACGCCGAGGCGCGAAGGCGUGGGGAGCAAACAGG
rnacentral:rRNA from 1 species